UACGAAGGGGGCUAGCGUUGUUCGGAAUUACUGGGCGUAAAGGGCGCGUAGGCGGUUUCGCUAGUCAGGCGUGAAAUCCCCAGGCUUAACCUGGGAAUUGCGCUUGAUACUUCGAGACUUGAGUGAGGGAGAGGAUAGUGGAAUUCCCAGUGUAGAGGUGAAAUUCGUAGAUAUUGGGAAGAACACCAGUGGCGAAGGCGGCUAUCUGGACCUCAACUGACGCUGAGGCGCGAAAGCGUGGGGAGCAAACAGG
rnacentral:rRNA from 1 species